UUCAAACGACAAUAAUCUACAUUACAAAACUUAUAAAUAUGUAAUCUAAAUAUUAUGUAGUCUUCGUGUCUAGAUAUACAAAAUAUAUUAUUGUUAUUAACGGUACUACAUACUAUUACGAUUACUAUAUUUAUAAGUAAGUGGCCAAAUAAUACAUAUAGUCUGGAAUAUGUAUAGUAUGAAUAGUAUGGAAUAUAAAAUUACAUUUUUGGUAAACGCUAAAAUAUGAAUAAGACGGUCGUUCGUCUAUACUGACGAUUGUACAAAAACUGUUAGAGUAUAGGAGAUUCUUGGGACCCGCUAUCCUACGACGCAGUAUCGCAGAGGAUUUCACGUAUAGCACCCUCGAGUAUUUUGCCCUUAUCUUCUUAGAACGAAGAGUGACGAAAGUCAGACAACCGCUGCGAGCGUUCAAGGCUCGCGUUUGCUUAUAUUUGUACGAAACAUUGUUCCUAUCGUCGAUGAUU